UACGUAGGGGGCAAGCGUUGUCCGGAUUUAUUGGGCGUAAAGAGCUCGUAGGCGGCUUGUAAGGUCGGGGGGGAAAGCCCGGGGCUUAACCCCGGGUCUGCAUUCGAUACGGGCUAGCUAGAGUGUGGUAGGGGAGAUCGGAAUUCCUGGUGUAGCGGUGAAAUGCGCAGAUAUCAGGAGGAACACCGGUGGCGAAGGCGGAUCUCUGGGCCAUUACUGACGCUGAGGAGCGAAAGCGUGGGGAGCGAACAGG
rnacentral:rRNA from 1 species